CAGCCGCCGCGGUAAUACGGAGGGGGCUAGCGUUGUUCGGAAUUACUGGGCGUAAAGCGCACGUAGGCGGCUUGGUAAGUUAGAGGUGAAAGCCCAGGGCUCAACCCUGGAAUUGCCUUUAAGACUGCCGAGCUAGUAGGUGAGAGAGGUAAGUGGAAUUCCGAGUGUAGAGGUGAAAUUCGUAGAUAUUCGGAAGAACACCAGUGGCGAAGGCGGCUUACUGGCUCAUUCUAGACGCUGAGGUGCGAAAGCGUGGGGAGCAAACAGGAUUAGAUACCCCUGUAGUCCCUGUCUCUUAUAC
rnacentral:rRNA from 1 species